UUACGACCACAUCUCGUUGACACACCGGUUCUCGUACGAACACCAAAGUCAAGCAGCAUUGAGCCUGGUCGGUACCGAGAUGGGUGACCACUUGUGAAUACAGG